rnacentral:rRNA from 1 species
GACGAACGCUGGCGGCGUGCCUAAUACAUGCAAGUAGAACGCUGAAGAGAGGAGCUUGCUCUUCUUGGAUGAGUUGCGAACGGGUGAGUAACGCGUGGGUAACCUGCCUGGUAGCGGGGGAUAACUAUUGGAAACGAUAGCUAAUACCGCAUAAAAUUGAUUAUUGCAUGAUAAUUAAUUGAAAGAUGCAAUUGCAUCACUACCAGAUGGACCUGCGUUGUAUUAGCUAGUUGGUGAGGUAACGGCUCACCAAGGCGACGAUACAUAGCCGACCUGAGAGGGUGAUCGGCCACACUGGGACUGAGACACGGCCCAGACUCCUACGGGAGGCAGCAGUAGGGAAUCUUCGGCAAUGGGGGGAACCCUGACCGAGCAACGCCGCGUGAGUGAAGAAGGUUUUCGGAUCGUAAAGCUCUGUUGUAAGAGAAGAACGGGUGUGAGAGUGGAAAGUUCACACUGUGACGGUAUCUACCAGAAA